UAAUACAUGCAAGUCGAGCGCAGGAAGCAAGUUGAUCCCUUCGGGGGUGACGCUUGUGGAAUGAGCGGCGGACGGGUGAGUAACACGUGGGCAACCUGCCUGUAAGACUGGGAUAACCCCGGGAAACCGGGGCUAAUACCGGAUAAUACUUUCUUUUGCAUAAAGGAAAGUUGAAAGGCGGCUUCGGCUGUCACUUACAGAUGGGCCCGCGGCGCAUUAGCUAGUUGGUGAGGUAACGGCUCACCAAGGCGACGAUGCGUAGCCGACCUGAGAGGGUGAUCGGCCACACUGGGACUGAGACACGGCCCAGACUCCUACGGGAGGCAGCAGUAGGGAAUCUUCCGCAAUGGNCGAAAGUCUGACGGAGCAACGCCGCGUGAGUGANGAAGGUNUUNGGAUNGUAAAACUCUGUUGUUAGGGAAGAACAAGUACGAUAGUAACUGAUCGUACCUUGACGGUACCUAACCAGAAAGCCACGGCUAANUNCGUGCCAGCAGCCGCGGUAAUACGUAGGNGGCNAGCGUUGUCNGGAAUUAUUGGGNGUAAAGCGCUCGCNGGCGGUCCUUUAAGUNUGAUGUGAAAUCUCGCGGCUCAACCGCGAACGGUCAUUGGAAACUGGANGACUUGAGUNCAGAAGAGGAGAGUGGAAUUNCNCGUGUAGCGGUGAAAUGNGUAGAGAUNUGGAGGAACACCAGUGGNGAAGGNGACUCUCUGGUCNGUAACUGACGNUGAGGAGCGAAAGCGUGGGGAGCGAACAGGAUUAGAUACCCUGGUAGUCCACGCCGUAAA
rnacentral:rRNA from 1 species